GCAGAUUGGAGAACUAUGCUCCCCAGGACAAGCGCUUCUCAGGCACCGUCUGGCUUAAGUCCACUCCCCACCCUAAAUUCUCAGUGUGGGGCCCGGGGAACCAGCAGCACUGGCCAAGGCUGUGGAUAUCUCCCACAUGCACAUGGAAGCGCUGAAGAAACUCAAUAAGAAUAAGAAGCUGGUCAAGAAAUAUGAUGCCUUUUUGGCCUCAGAGUCUUUGAUCAAGCAGAUUCCACGAAUCCUGGGCCCAUACCUAAAUAAGGAUGGCAAAUUCCCUUCCCUGAUGACACACAAUGAAAACAAGGUGGCCAAAGUUGAUGAGGUGAAAUCCACAGUCAAGUUUCAAAAGAAGAAGGUGCUGUGUCUGGCUGUUGCUGUUGGUCAUGUGAAGAUGACAGAUGAUGAGCUUGUCUACAACAUGCACCUGGCUGUCAACUUCCUGGUGUCAUUAUUGCUCAAGAAGAAUUGGCAGAAUGUCUGGGCAUUAUACAUCAAGAGCACCAUGGGCAAGUCCCAGCGCCUGUAUUAAGGCACAUCCUAAUAAAUCCUAGUGCUACCAAAAAAAAAAAAAAAAAAAA